rnacentral:rRNA from 1 species
GACGAACGCUGGCGGCGUGCCUAAUACAUGCAAGUAGAACGCUGAAGGAGGAGCUUGCUUCUCUGGAUGAGUUGCGAACGGGUGAGUAACGCGUAGGUAACCUGCCUGGUAGCGGGGGAUAACUAUUGGAAACGAUAGCUAAUACCGCAUAAGAGUAGAUGUUGCAUGACAUUUGCUUAAAAGGUGCAAUUGCAUCACUACCAGAUGGACCUGCGUUGGAUUAGCUAGUUGGUGGGGUAACGGCUCACCAAGGCGACGAUACAUAGCCGACCUGAGAGGGGGAUCGGCCACACUGGGACUGAGACACGGCCCAGACUCCUACGGGAGGCAGCAGUAGGGAAUCUUCGGCAAUGGACGGAAGUCUGACCGAGCAACGCCGCGGGAGUGAAGAAGGUUUUCGGAUCGUAAAGCUCUGUUGUAAGAGAAGAGCGAGUGUGAGAGUGGAAAGUUCACACUGUGACGGUAUCUUAACAGAAAGGAACGGCUAACUACGUG